GCUAGUAUGAUGCAGUGGUUUGAGUGUUGGACUAUAACUCUGGAGACCAGGGUUUGAAUCCCUGCCUUGCCA